GAUAUAGCUCAGUGGUAGAGUGCUUGCCUGUCAUGUGUGAAGCCCUAGGUUCAAUUCACAGUACG
rnacentral:tRNA from 1 species